UGGGUGAGGGGAUUCCCCUGUGAAGGUCAGUCACUGUUUGUCUCUGCAGAGGAAGCAUAAAUUGUGGCUGCUGCAGCUCUGCUCUUUGUCUUUAUUUUUAGGAAGUCAAGGCAGAGAGCAGCUGUCAAGGCUGAGUGGGCAAGAUGGACUGCUUGCCAUCUAUCCUAGCCCAGCAUGCCCAUGCCAGGUGCUGUCGCUGCCCUAGGCAUGCCGGGGAAGAGAGGAGGGCAGGUAUCUUCCGGGCGGCCUCUGGAGUCAAAUCAAGACUUGAGGUACCCUGGGCAGGCUUGUAGCCACAGCUUGGAAGCGGCAGCACCGAAGCGCACACAUUGAGAACGUCUCAACGUCCACGUCCGACCGAGGAUGGAUUUUGUCUGCUUGUCUUCCAAAAGCUAAGUGUCGGGGCCAGUGGUUGGGAGAAGGGGAAAAGCCUUUACUAUCACAGGAGGCAAUCUGAUGUCAGCUUAGCGGAGAGGUCUGUAGUGGGACAGGCUCCCUGGAAGUAAAGGGAGAGGGUUUCUCCUCAGCCUCACCAGAGCCUUUGCCGGGCAGGGCAAUUCCUACCCAUCUCCACAUUCUCGUGAACUUUGUGUCAUCAGCCUUCUUCGA